CACGUAGGAUCCGAGCGUUAUCCGAAUUUACUGGGCGUAAAGCGCGUGCAGGCGGUUUGGUAAGUUGGAUGUGGAAGCUCCUGGCUCAACUGGGAAAAGUCGUUCAAAACUACCAGACUUGAGGGCGGUAGAGGGAGGUGGAAUUCCCGGUGUAGUAGUGAAAUGCGUAGAUAACGGGAGGAACACCAGUGGCGAAAGCGGCCUCCUGGACCGCUCCUGACGCUCAGACGCGAAAGCUAGGGGAGCGAACGGG
rnacentral:rRNA from 1 species